rnacentral:rRNA from 1 species
GAUGAACGCUGACAGAAUGCUUAACACAUGCAAGUCAACUUGAAUUUGGGUUUUUAACUUAGGUUUGGGUGGCGGACGGGUGAGUAACGCGUAAAGAACUUGCCUCACAGCUAGGGACAACAUUUGGAAACGAAUGCUAAUACCUAAUAUUAUGAUAAUAGGGCAUCCUAUAAUUAUGAAAGCUAUAAGCGCUGUGAGAGAGCUUUGCGUCCCAUUAGCUAGUUGGAGAGGUAACGGCUCACCAAGGCGAUGAUGGGUAGCCGGCCUGAGAGGGUGACCGGCCACAAGGGGACUGAGUCACGGCCCUUACUCCUUCGGGAGGCAUCGGUGGGGAAUAUUGGACGAUGGACCAAGUGUCUGAUCCAGCAAUUCUGUGUGCACGAUGAAGUUUUUCGGAAUGUAAAGUGCUUUCAGUUGGGAAGAAAGAAAUGACGGUACCAACAGAAGAAGUGACGGCUAAAUACGUG